rnacentral:rRNA from 1 species
UGCAGUCGACGCUGAAAGCUUGGUGCUUGCACUGGGUGGAUGAGUGGCGAACGGGUGAGUAAUACGUGAGUAACCUGCCCUUGACUCUGGGAUAAGCCUGGGAAACUGGGUCUAAUACUGGAUACGACAUGUCACCGCAUGGUGGUGUGUGGAAAGGGUUUUACUGGUUUUGGAUGGGCUCACGGCCUAUCAGCUUGUUGGUGGGGUAAUGGCUCACCAAGGCGACGACGGGUAGCCGGCCUGAGAGGGUGACCGGCCACACUGGGACUGAGACACGGCCCAGACUCCUACGGGAGGCAGCAGUGGGGAAUAUUGCACAAUGGGCGGAAGCCUGAUGCAGCGACGCCGCGUGAGGGAUGACGGCCUUCGGGUUGUAAACCUCUUUCAGCACGGAAGAAGCGAAAGUGACGGUACGUGCAGAAGAAGCGCCGGCUAACUACGUGCCAGCAGCCGCGGUAAUACGUAGGGCGCAAGCGUUGUCCGGAAUUAUUGGGCGUAAAGAGCUCGUAGGCGGUUUGUCGCGUCUGCUGUGAAAGCCCGGGGCUUAACCCCGGGUGUGCAGUGGGUACGGGCAGACUUGAGUGCAGUAGGGGAGACUGGAAUUCCUGGUGUAGCGGUGAA